ACGGAAGGCAGCAGUGGGGAAUAUUGGGCAAUGGGCGAAAGCCUGACCCAGCGACGCCGCGUGAGGGAAGAAGAUCUUCGGAUUGUAAACCUCUUUCAGCAGGGAAGAAGAAAGUGACGGUACCUGCAGAAGAAGCCACGGCUAACUACGUGCCAGCAGCCGCGGUAAUACGUAGGUGGCGAGCGUUAUUCGGAAUUACUGGGUGUAAAGGGUGUGUAGGCGGGGGAGCAAGUCAGGUGUGAAAAUUAUGGGCUCAACUCAUAACUUGCACUUGAAACUGUUCUUCUUGAGUGUGGGAGAGGUAAGUGGAAUUCCAGUGUAGCGGUGAAAUGCGUAGAUAUUGGGAGGAACACCAGUGGCGAAGGCGGCUUACUGGACCACAACUGACGCUGAGACACGAAAGCGUGGGGAGCAAACAGGAUUAGAUACCCUGGUA
rnacentral:rRNA from 1 species